UACGAAGGGGGGCUAGCGUUGUUCGGAAUUACUGGGCGUAAAGGGCGCGUAGGCGGUGUGUCAAGUCAGGCGUGAAAGCCCCCGGGCUCAACCUGGGAACCGCGCUUGAGACUGGCACGCUAGAGUUCGGGAGAGGAUGGUGGAAUUCCCAGUGUAGAGGUGAAAUUCGUAGAUAUUGGGAAGAACACCGAUGGCGAAGGCAGCCAUCUGGACCGACACUGACGCUGAGGCGCGAAAGCGUGGGGAGCAAACAGG
rnacentral:rRNA from 1 species